GGGGCUGAUUCUGGAUUCGACGGGAUUUGCGAAACCCAAGGUGCAUGCCGAGGGGCGGUUUGCCUCGUUAAAAGCCGCAAAAAAAUAGUCGCAAACGACGAAAACUACGCUUUAGCAGCUUAAUAACCUGCUAAGAGCCCUCUCUCCCUAGCUUCCGCUCUUAAGACG
rnacentral:tmRNA from 2 species